GACUGAACCGCGUGGGCGGCGUGCUUAACGACAUGCAAGUCGAACGGGAAACGAUUUUAUUGAAGGCUCCGGCAGAUUUAGUUUGUUUCUAGUGGCGGACGGGUGAGUAACGCGUGGGUAACCUGCCUCACACUGGGGGAUAACAGUCAGAAAUGACUGCUAAUACCGCAUAAGCGCACGAUGUCGCAUGACAUAGUGUGAAAAACUCCGGUGGUAUGAGAUGGACCCGCGUCUGAUUAGCUAGUUGGUGAGGUAACGGCCCACCAAGGCGACGAUCAGUAGCCGACCUGAGAGGGUGACCGGCCACAUUGGGACUGAGACACGGCCCAA
rnacentral:rRNA from 1 species